rnacentral:rRNA from 2 species
UAUACAUGCAAGUCGAACGAACUCUGGUAUUGAUUGGUGCUUGCAUCAUGAUUUACAUUUGAGUGAGUGGCGAACUGGUGAGUAACACGUGGGAAACCUGCCCAGAAGCGGGGGAUAACACCUGGAAACAGAUGCUAAUACCGCAUAACAACUUAGACCGCAUGGUCCGAGUUUGAAAGAUGGCUUCGGCUAUCACUUUUGGAUGGUCCCGCGGCGUAUUAGCUAGAUGGUGGGGUAACGGCUCACCAUGGCAAUGAUACGUAGCCGACCUGAGAGGGUAAUCGGCCACAUUGGGACUGAGACACGGCCCAAACUCCUACGGGAGGCAGCAGUAGGGAAUCUUCCACAAUGGACGAAAGUCUGAUGGAGCAACGCCGCGUGAGUGAAGAAGGGUUUCGGCUCGUAAAACUCUGUUGUUAAAGAAGAACAUAUCUGAGAGUAACUGUUCAGGUAUUGACGGUAUUUAACCAGAAAGCCACGGCUAACUACGUGCCAGCAGCCGCGGUAAUACGUAGGUGGCAAGCGUUGUCCGGAUUUAUUGGGCGUAAAGCGAGCGCAGGCGGUUUUUUAAGUCUGAUGUGAAAGCCUUCGGCUCAACCGAAGAAGUGCAUCGGAAACUGGGAAACUUGAGUGCAGAAGAGGACAGUGGAACUCCAUGUGUAGCGGUGAAAUGCGUAGAUAUAUGGAAGAACACCAGUGGCGAAAGCGGCUGUCUGGUCUGUAACUGACGCUGAGCUCGAAAGUAUGGGUAGCAAACAGGAUUAGAUACCCUGGUAGUCCAUACCGUAAACGAUGAAUGCUAAGUGUUGGAGGGUUUCCGCCCUUCAGUGCUGCAGCUAACGCAUUAAGCAUUCCGCCUGGGGGAGUACGGCCGCUAGGCUGAAACUCA